UCAAACAAUUCUGACAUUGAUGAUGUGAACAAAAUGAGUGGCCACUCAUUUUCUAAAUAGAUACACCCAUGGCCCAUGGCCUACCUAACCAUCCCCUGAGGAGAGGGGGAUAGAGGUUGGCUGGAAAAUCGAAGUUAAUAAACAAACCGUUAAGACUAGUUUAAAAAUAGGAAAAGUAGACCAAUGUAGUUCUUACAAAUACACAAUUCUUCAGCUGCCCUCCCUU
rnacentral:lncRNA from 1 species